GAUGAAGAACGCAGCGAAAUGCGAUAAGUAGUGUGAAUUGCAGAAUUCAGUGAAUCAUCGAAUAUUUGAACGCACAUUGCGGCCAUAGGUAUUCCUUUGGCCAUGCCUGUUCGAGCGUCAUUUACACCCUCAAGCGUAGCUUGGUGUUGGGCGCCUGUCCCGCCGUUUUCGCGCGCGGACUCGCCUCAAAGUCAUUGGCGGCGGUCGUGCCGGCCCCCUCGCGCAGCACAUUUGCGCUUCUCGGAGGCCCGGCGGAUCCGCGCUCCAGCAAGACCUUUCACGACUUGACCUCGGAUCAGGUAGGGAUACCCGCUGAACUUAAGCAUAUCAAUAAGCGGAGGA
rnacentral:misc_RNA from 1 species